AAUGAAAAAGGAUUUUUAUGCUGCUUGGUUGGAAAUACAUAAGAAAAAAAUAGAAUGAAAAAAUUUAUAAUAAAAUAUUAUAAUUCUGUUUGGGAUUGUGGAUAGAUUGUGAUAUAUAAUAAAAAAAAGUAUGAUAAGAAUAAUAAUUUAUUAAAAUAUAUCGACUAUCUUUAACACAAGUAGUAAAGGACUUGGUGGUUGAUAUUCUAGGCCUCAAAUUCGAAUUAUAUUUAAUUCACAUUUCAAACGAAGCAUACUACCUAUAUUUCAAAAAAACAUAAUUGGUUACGAUUCCAUUAAAAAUAAUUAAAUCAUAGUUCUACAUGCUUUUUCAUCCAUUUUAUUUUAUCUAACAAUGUUGGACGCUCUCCCUACAAAGCGGGCUCUACCAUUUGUUGAAGUUAUUGACAUUUUUUUUUUUGGUUAAUGUUAUAUAGAUUUCUGAAAAUAUAUCGAGAAAUAGGGAAAAGAAACAGUUCGGCUCAAUACUAAGAUGUGAUUCGGUUUAGUUCAAACAAAACAAGAAAAUAAUCCAGUUUGGUAACAAGAAAAUAAUCCGGUUUUGUUUAAAUAAAAAAAGAGAAAAACAUAUAGAGAAUUUGAGCUGAUUCGAAAGAAUCCACACUCAAUAAUUAUUGGUCCGGUUUAAUAAAAAAAAAAAUUGAUUCAGUUCAAAUUAAAAAAAAAAAUGUAAAGU
rnacentral:lncRNA from 1 species